rnacentral:rRNA from 1 species
UACAGAGGUCUCAAGCGUUGUUUGGAUUCAUUGGGCGUAAAGGGUGCGUAGGCGGCGCGGUAAGUCGGGUGUGAAAUCUCGGAGCUUAACUCCGAAACUGCAUUCGAUACUGCCGUGCUUGAGGACUGGAGAGGAGACUGGAAUUUACGGUGUAGCGGUGAAAUGCGUAGAUAUCGUAAGGAAGACCAGUGGCGAAGGCGGCAUCCUGGACCGGCAUUGACGCUGAGGCGCGAAAGCCAGGGGAGCAAACGGG